GACGAACGCUGGCGGCGUGCUUAACACAUGCAAGUCGAACGGAAAGGCCCUGCUUGCAGGGUACUCGAGUGGCGAACGGGUGAGUAACACGUGGGUGAUCUGCCCUGCACUUCGGGAUAAGCCUGGGAAACUGGGUCUAAUACCGGAUAGGAGCCAUUUUUAGUGUGUUGGUUGGAAAGUUUUUUCGGUGUAGGAUGAGCUCGCGGCCUAUCAGCUUGUUGGUGGGGUAAUGGCCUACCAAGGCGGCGACGGGUAGCCGGCCUGAGAGGGUGGACGGCCACAUUGGGACUGAGAGACGGCCCAGACUCCUACGGGAGGCAGCAGUGGGGAAGAUUGCACAAUGGGCGCAAGCCUGAUGCAGCGACGCCGCGGGGGGGAUGACGGCCUUCGGGUUGUAAACUCCUUCCGCUAGGGACGAAGCUUUUUGUGACGGUACCUAGAUAAGAAGCACCGGCUAACUACGUG
rnacentral:rRNA from 1 species